ensembl:snRNA U6 U6 spliceosomal RNA
GUGCUCGCUUCGGCAGCACGCAUACUAAAACUUGAAUGAUACAGAGAAGGUUAGCAUGGCCCCUGCACAAGGGUGAGACGCAAAUUCGUGAAGCGCUCCGUGUUUUU